UUGGCAUUGUUGCUGUCAUCAUAGCUGGCUUUUGUCAGGAGUUGGAGCGGUGUCUGGAGCAAGGAUUCUCACAUACGGGCUUCCCUUCGCUUCUUACAGCAAGGAGGUGGGAAAUCCUAUCUGCAAACGGCCAUCUUCAUAGCCACCAGGACAGGGUUUCUCUAUAUUGCUUUGGAGGUUGUCCCGGAAUUUGCUCGGUAGACCAGGCUGGCCUCGAACUCACAGAGAUCUGACUGCCUCUGCCUCUCGAGUGCUGGGAUUAAAGGCGUGCACCAGCCACCAACGCCCAGCUGACUUGGAACUUUUGAUCCUUCUUUCUCUACCUCCUGUGUGCUUGGAUCCUCCAUGCCUGCUGCCAUCCAUAUACGAAGUGACAGAUCAAACCCAGGGUUUCACGUAUGCCAGGCAAGCAAGCACUCCGCCUGCUGAGCUGCAUGCCCAGCCCAGACAGACUUUUUUUAAUGACCCCACAUGACUGUCAGAUGAGUGGAAGGCACAGGGAAUGAACGCUUGGAGUUUGUUCAGCAAAGAUGUGGAAGUACAUUUGCCUCCCUCGUUCAGAAGGCAAGGCUUUGAAUAAAGAGAGAGGAUUGGA